rnacentral:rRNA from 1 species
UCCGUAGGGUGCGAGCGUUAAUCGGAAUUACUGGGCGUAAAGCGUGCGCAGGCGGUGCGCCAAGCUCGAUGUGAAAGCCCCGGGCUUAACCUGGGAAUUGCAUUGAGGACUGGCGUGCUCGAGUGCGGCAGAGGGGGGUGGAAUUCCACGUGUAGCAGUGAAAUGCGUAGAGAUGUGGAGGAACACCGAUGGCGAAGGCAGCCCCCUGGGCCGACACUGACGCUCAGGCACGAAAGCGUGGGGAGAAAACAGG